rnacentral:lncRNA from 1 species
AAGAACCAACUUUUAGUUUUGUCAAUUUUUUCAAUUGUUUCUUUUGUUUCGAUUUCAUUAAUUUCAGCUCUGAUUUUAAUUAUUUCUUGCCUUCUACUUCUUUUGCUGUUGUUUUGCUCUUCUUUUUCAAGGAUUUUGAGAUGAAGUAUGAGAUCAUUUAUUUGUUGGUUUUUUCUUUUUUUAAGGAAUGAACUCCAAGCAAUGAAUUUUCCUCUUAGAACUGCUUUCAAUGUGUCCCAUAGAUUCCGAUAUGUUGUGUCUGUGUUUUCAUUUAUCUCUAAGAAUUUUUUAAUUUCCUCCUUGAUGUCUUCUAUAACCCAUUGAUCAUUCAGUAACCUAUUGUUCAUUCUCCAAUUGAUGUAUGCUUUUUCCUUCCUUCUUUUAUCGUUGAUUUUCAGUUUCAUUCCAUUAUGAUCAGAUAAGAUGCAUGGUAUUAUCUCUACUCCUUUAUAUUGUCUAAGAGUUGCCCUGUGACAUAAUAUAUGAUCUAUUUUUGAGAAGGAUCCAUGUGCUGCUGAGAAAAAAGUGUAACUGCUUGAUGUUGGGUGGUAUACUCUAUAUAUGUCAAUUAGGUCUAGGUUAUUAAUAGUGUUAUUGAGUUCUAUAGUUUCCUUAUUCAACUUUUGUUUGGAAGAUCUGUCCAGUGGCGAGAGAGGUGUGUUGAAGUCUCCCAUGAUUAUGGUGUGGUGGUCUAUUAGACUCUUGAACUUGAGAAGAGUUUGUUUGACGAACAUAGCUGCACCAUUGUUUGGGGCAUAAAUAUUUAUGAUUGUUAUGUCUUGUUGGUGUAUGGUUCCCUUAAGCAGUAUGUAGUGUCCCUCUUUAUCUCUUUUGAUUAACUUUGGCUUGAAAUCUAUUUUAUUUGAUAUGAGUAUGGACACGCCUGCUUGUUUCCGAAGUCCAUAUGAGUGAUAUGAUUUUUCCCAACCUUUCACCUUCAGCCUAUGUAUGUCUUUUCCUAUCAAAUGCGUCUCCUGUAGGCAGCAUAUUGUUGGGUCUUGUUUUGUGAUCCAUUCUACUAGCCUGUGUCUCUUAAUUGGUGAGUUUAAGCCAUUAACAUUUAGGGUUAUUAUUGAGAUAUGGGUUGUUCUUCCAGCCAUAUUUGUUUAUUUCUGUUACUAAACAUUGUUUGUUUUCCUCUUUGAUUGUUUCCCCCCCCCCUUUACUGUCCUACCUCCCACUGUUGGUUUUCAUUGUUAUUUUCCAUUUCCUCUUCCUGUAAUACUUUGGCUAGGAUGUUUUGAAGAGAUGGUUUUCUAGCUGCGAAUUCUUUAAACUUUUGUUUAUCGUGGAAGGUUUUAAUUUCAUCUUCCAUCCUGAAGCUUAAUUUCGCUGGAUACACAAUUCUUGGUUGGAACCCAUUUUCUUUCAGUGUUUGAAAUAUGUUAUUCCAGGAUCUUCUAGCUUUCAGAGUCUGUGUUGAAAGAUCAGCUGUUAUCCUGAUUGGCUUGCCCCUAAAUGUAAUCUGCUUCCUUUCUCUUGUAGCUUUUAAAAUUCUCUCCUUAUUCUGUAUGUUGGGCAUCUUCAUUAUAAUGUGUCUAGGUGUGGAUCUCUUAUGAUUUUGCACAUUCGGCGUCCUGUAGGCUUCUAGGAUUUGGGAUUCUGUCUCAUUCUUCAAGUCUGGGAAGUUUUCUUGUAUUAUUUCAUUGAAUAGACUGCUCAUUCCUUUGGUUUGGAGCUCUGUACCUUCCUGUAUCCCAAUGACUCUUAAGUUUGGUCUCUUAAUGUUAUCCCAUAUUUCUUGGAUGUUCUGCUCAUGGUUUCUUAACAGUCUUGCUGAGCUGUCUAUGUUCUUUUCCAGUUGAAAUACUUUGUCUUCAUUGUCUGAUGUUCUAUCUUCUAAGUGUUCUACUCUGUUGGUAGUAUUCUCCAUUGAGUUUUUAAGUUGGUUUAUUGCUUCCUGCAUUUCUAGGAUUUCUGAUUGCUUGUUUUUUAUAACCUCUAUCUCCCUGUAUAGUUGAUCCUUUGCUUCCUGGAUUUGUUUGCGUAAUUCGUUGUCGAAGUGAUCUUUCAUUGUCUGAUUUUGCUGUUUAAUGUCUUCCUUGAUACUCCAGAUCAUCUGAAGCAUGUAUAUCCUGAAUUCUUUAUCUGACAUUCCAUCUGCUGCAGCUGUUACCUCUUCUAAAGUUGCGUUGACCUGCAUUGCUUGUGGUCCUUUCUUUCCUUGUCUUUUCAUACUGCUUGCGUAUCUUUCCUGCAGGUGCGGGCGGCGGCUCUGCUCUCUCCUUAUUCCAAUUGGGGUGUCGUGGCUACCACGCCGGCAGGUCACUGGGCCUGUUCUGGGAGCUGGUGGCGGCUCUGUUCUGCCCCUACUCCAAUUGGGGUGACGUGUCUGUCGUACCAGCAGGCCACUGGGCCUGUCCUGCUGGUCGGUCGCAGAUCUGCCCACCUUUCGGGCACGAGUGGAGGCUCUGCUUUGCCCCUACUCCAAUUGGGGUGUCGUGACUACCCCGCCUGCAGGAUGCUGGGUCUGUUCCUGGCAAGGGAGGCGACUCUGCUCUGUCACUACUCCAAUUAGGGUGGUGUUUGUACCCCGCCGGCAGGCUCCUGGGCCUGAUCCGCCGGUCUGUUGUAGGUCUGCCUACCUUGAAGGCGCGGGCGGCGGAUCUGCCCUGCCCCUCCUACCACGCCUGCGGACCCCUGGGCCUGAUCUGCAGGUUGAUCACUGGUCUGCUCACCCUGCGGGCACGGGUGGCGGUUCCGCUCUGCCCCCACUCCAAUUGGGGUCACGUGACCACCACACCGGCAGGUCCUCAUCCGGGCGUGGGAGAACAAUCUGCUCUGCCCCUACUCCAGUUGGGGUGACGUGUGUACCACACUGGCAGGCCACUGGGCCUGACCCGCCAGGCUGUCACAGGUCUGUUUACCUUGCAAGCGCGAAGGGCGGCUCUGCCCUGCCCCUCCUACCACGCCCAUGUACUACUGGGUCACGGGUCUGCCCACCUGGCGGGUGUGGGUGGCGGCUCUGCUCCGCCCCCUCUCCAAUUGGGG